rnacentral:rRNA from 1 species
GAUGAAGGGAGCUUGCUCCUGGAUUCAGCGGCGGACGGGUGAGUAAUGCCUAGGAAUCUGCCUGGUAGUGGGGGAUAACGUCCGGAAACGGGCGCUAAUACCGCAUACGUCCUGAGGGAGAAAGUGGGGGAUCUUCGGACCUCACGCUAUCAGAUGAGCCUAGGUCGGAUUAGCUAGUUGGUGGGGUAAAGGCCUACCAAGGCGACGAUCCGUAACUGGUCUGAGAGGAUGAUCAGUCACACUGGAACUGAGACACGGUCCAGACUCCUACGGGAGGCAGCAGUGGGGAAUAUUGGACAAUGGGCGAAAGCCUGAUCCAGCCAUGCCGCGUGUGUGAAGAAGGUCUUCGGAUUGUAAAGCACUUUAAGUUGGGAGGAAGGGCAGUAAGUUAAUACCUUGCUGUUUUGACGUUACCAACAGAAUAAGCACCGGCUAACUUCGUGCCAGCAGCCGCGGUAAUACGAAGGGUGCAAGCGUUAAUCGGAAUUACUGGGCGUAAAGCGCGCGUAGGUGGUUCAGCAAGUUGGAUGUGAAAUCCCCGGGCUCAACCUGGGAACUGCAUCCAAAACUACUGAGCUAGAGUACGGUAGAGGGUGGUGGAAUUUCCUGUGUAGCGGUGAAAUGCGUAGAUAUAGGAAGGAACACCAGUGGCGAAGGCGACCACCUGGACUGAUACUGACACUGAGGUGCGAAAGCGUGGGGAG